AGUCUACAAGGUGUUCGACGAAAUGCUCACAAGAACAUCUUUGUCUUCAGAUGGAUAUGCAACUUUUAAUUUUAUUGGGGUAUUGCGGCUGCUGACAAUAAUCAUGUUCAAAUUUUAUGAGGGAUUAAGAAGACGGGCAUAGCCCUUAUUUCGGAACUCAAGCUAAUGUCAAUAUAGGUUCUAAGAUCUUAAUUGGUUUAGUUCAUCCAUAUUCUCUAGUCAAGCAAACAAAGAAGAAGAAAAUGGUAUCACUGUUUUUAGAUUUUGAUAUAAAUACGAGAGGUGUGGAGAUAAAAAAGUUUGUCUCCAAUGUAAGAUACGGCUUACUUGUUUGUUUCUUAUUAAUUGAAUUUGUUUUCAUAGUUAUCAACUAA